rnacentral:lncRNA from 1 species
AGUAAAUAUAUGGCUGCAAAGGGCUGGGGGAGAUAGCUCAGAACAAGGGCUGUUUUGUGACUCUGAGCUAGAGUGUCUUCAGAGGAAAUAAAAUAAAUCUUGCUCCAAAUGCAUAUCCCAGUGUACUUCACUCCUCUUGCAGAUGUAAUAACUGAUGCCACAGCUGUGCAUACUUGUUCCUAACUGAGCACCUGACAGUACUAAUGAGGUGCUUGGAAGAGAGGUGCUGCUUCACACCCUGUAGCCAAGACCUCAGCCAACUAACUGGGAGAUGGGAAAACUGCAAACUGAGAGCAAGCAGUGUCUUUGUACCUCAAAUUCAUGAUCACUUUUACGUGCCUGUUUUACUACAGUCAUAAGUAGUAAUGGUCCAAACAUAGUCCUGAACAAUUAUUUUCAUCUCUUCACCUGCUAAUAAAGCCUGCAAUUACUGUAUCUGUAAAAUCA